UCGAUUCUUCAGAUGAUGAUCCCAAGCCUUCUGGCGUUCUGUUCAUCAAAUUUCAAAAGCGUUAAAAAACAUUCGAAAGUAUUUAAGAAACAUAUCUUUUGUUUUCUUUUAUCUGUCCCGAGGAAGGUUUUUACCAAUUCAUUCCUGAGGGCUUGUAGCUCAGUUGGUUAGAGCGCGCGCUUGAUAAGCGUGAGGUCGGAGGUUCAAGUCCUCCCAGGCCCACCAAUUUAUGAUUGCUGAUAAGAUUUAUGAUCGCUGAUGAGUUUGCUGAUAAAGUUUUUUUGCGAACGUUUUGAUAGUCUUUUAUCUUACGAUCUUUCAGUUUUAUGUUGCAAUCUUUCAAAAGUAUUUGAACUGUUUUAGGGGCCGUAGCUCAGCUGGGAGAGCACCUGCUUUGCAAGCAGGGGGUCGUCGGUUC
rnacentral:misc_RNA from 1 species